UGUGUUUUUGCAUCAUGGAGAUUACUGGCCUCCUGUACCCUGGAGCCUGGAUUUGGAAAAUGAACUCUUAGCACUCAGUAACUCAAAAUUAUGGAUUCUUUGAGCUCGAGGAGUUGCUAAAAAGGAUUAUUAUAUAAUACUGGAAGGACAAGUUUCCUCUGGAUUUACAACACUGGAUAACUAACAUGUGUUUCUGGUCUGUAUUUGAAAUGGUUUCAUUUUGGCAAACUGGCAAAGAGGAGUUUUCAGAGAUUUGGUUUAACUUUAAGGAACACUUUGUGCUUUGCAGUAAUUAUCCUGAGAAGAGGUGUUUUAAAAAAAUACAAUAUUUAUGUAUUUAACUAGUUAAUAGUUAACUAGUUAGUAGUUAAAUGUUUGUGUGGUUGUUUUCUUUAUUUUCUCAAUUAUAUUGCUGACUUGUUUCAGUUGCUGUUUUAAAAAGAAACAAGUUGAGCUAGUAAGAACUAAUCAGCCUACUUUCCUUUCACUGUCUCUACAAUGGGACUAAAUUUGGUUCAAAUCCAGAUUCACAAGUUAGAUCUCUUCAUGUAUCCACCAUCUUGGAUCAGGGUGGAUGGCAUUAUUACAAACUAUACCAUUGAGGUGUCACUGUGCAUCACUCACUACAACUGUAUCAAAUUUGGUUCAAAUUGGUUAGACAGUCCUCAAGUUAGUGCACUUGCACCUCAAAAGUUCAUAUGUCCACCAUCUUGGAUCAAGGUGGAUGACAUCAUCAAAAUCUACACCAUUGGGACAUCUCUAUGUGUCCAUAUGGCUGUAGCAAAUUUGAUUCAACUCAGUUAGACUGUCCACAAGUAGGUGCACUUUGUUGGGGCACAUGUACGGGCACAUGUACCCCAGCCUUAGACUUAAAGGUACCAACCCAGAAUUAUGUGGAAUUCAGGCCUGUGUCUGGUUCCAUUUUAUUAAGACAGGAAUUAAUUUCUGGACUCAGGGUGAAUAGACACCCAGAUCUGCCUGGGUAAUGCCUGGUAAAAUGAAUUGUAGAGGCAGGGGUAAUCUAGCAUUGGUUAUCAGUGUUUGUGGAACUCACAAGAGACACAAUGGGUCAGGCUUAAUUACCAGUCUCACACUGCUGGAAAUUAACCUGCUGUCCAGUAAUCCCCUUACCUCACUGACAGGAUGCUUCUGCCUUAGUCAAAUGUAUUGAUUAACUCGUCUCACACUUUUUAUGUUACUUUAAAUAUUAUCUUGUUACACACUAGAUAGAGGUACACAAGGAAUAAUGUAAUUGCUGUCUCACACAAAUAGAACUAAUUCUCUCACUAACUCCUGACUUUUAACACCUUUUGGGACCAGGCUAGCAAAUCUGGGGGCCCAUUUGCAGCUCAGAGAGGCAGAUGUGCCUUGGGCAAUGUCCCCUCCUCAAGAUAGCAGCUAACAGAAGAUGGGAUUAAGAUCUCCCUGGACUGCCUGAAUAAUUAAAAGGACAUUAUCCAGAAGGUAACAGCAAGUUGUCACCUUUUGGGACCCAGGAAAGAUGAUGGGAGAUCAAAGGAAGAUACAACUAUAAAGAAUAGCUUACUGGACAGAGAAGUGGCAGUCUUGUGCCUACUGGCAGUCUUGUGCCUACAAGCAAUCUUGUGCCUACAAGCAAGAUCUGCUCACGAGCAAUCCCAGAAUUUGCUGCUAAGCCGCGGGGCAACAAGCAGGAACUCUGUCCAUGGACAGGAGCUGUCUGUGACUUCCACUGCGCAGUGGGAAGUCAAGACUUCCCCAGCCAUGGUGCUCUGACUCUCAGCCGUGCUCUGAGCAAACUGCAUGCUUGAUCCAAAAGCUCCUGUCUCCAGCCAAAAGCCUCGCUCCUUCAGCUGAAAGAUCCACCGCUCUCAAGCCUCUGAUCCUGGUAAUAUGCUGCCUCUACAAGCCUUGGAUCCCUCUAUCCUUUCCCCUUUUUCUCAUUUCCCCUUGUCCCUCUACUAAUUCCUGAUCUCCCCAAACCAUGCCAGCCCUCAGCCUUCCUUACCUCCCCCCCCCCCUUUCCAUCUAUAUCUGAAUUGUAUUAGGCUCUAGGAAGAUUUAAUACACACACAUAUGUUAGUUAGGAACACUGGGUGAAUAUUGGUGCUGGCUAGUGUUGAAAUACUGUUAGUAAUACUGAUAGAAUGUUCUGCUUUCUGCUCAGUUAGAUUGAUGUUGUUAUUCUUUUAUACUCAAUAAAGCCCAUUGAAUCAUU